rnacentral:rRNA from 1 species
CACGUAAGGGGCAAGCGUUGUUCGGAAUUAUUGGGCGUAAAGGGUGCGUAGGCGGUUACGCAAGCCCGGCGUGAAAUCCUGAGCUUAACUCCAGAAUGGCGCCGGGAACUGCGUGACUUGAGUCAUGGAAGGGAAGUUAGAAUUCCAGGUGUAGGGGUGAAAUCUGUAGAUAUCUGGAAGAAUACCGGUGGCGAAGGCGAACUUCUGGCCAAUGACUGACGCUGAGGCACGAAAGUGCGGGGAGCAAACAGG